CUUUCGACGGUCUGUAGCCUCAAGGGUGUUUUGUGAUAUAUGAAACUGUGGCAGACAAACAAAUUAGCUUGCAAGGGGAUUGGAAAAUCUGAGAACCUUCACAGUUCUUAACAAGACAAUCCAGAUGUCAUGGUCUUGACUGACCAAUGUUGAACAUUUGUAUCACUUCCUCAUUUCUGUGUCAAAACGACAGAAGGUAAGGUGACUUUAAGGCUUAGUUUAAUAUGUACAUGUGUGCACUAUUGAAGAAACCAUACAAUGUCAAAUGCCUACAAUAAAGGUUAUAAUUUCAAAAAUAUCAGGAGCUAUUCAGAUGAGAGAUCUUUGAGAGAAGGGGAUAUGUGCUUUUUUGUUUCCUUGACAAUAGAUGAAGGUCUUAAGGAGUUAAUGUCAUUUUGAUGAUCUCCCUUGAAGUCAGAUGGCUAAUGAGCAAUCUGACAAAGGGAAUCCAUGUGUGUGGAGCACCAGUCCUGAGCUGAGCACUUAGUUCAUCCAAGCACAUGAUUUCAUUUUGUCUUUCAAAGAACCCACUGAAGAAAGUAUCGUGAUACUGUUCUUAAGAGAUUAGCGAACAGAGGUUCAGUGAUCUUAAAUGAAUUGAUUAAUUUUUUUCCUCUCUACCCAUGUCUCCCAGCUAUCAAUCUGUGAGCAGAUGCAGGGCUGGCUGCAUGAUAAUCAUCCUAGUGAAAUUGUUUAAAAUAUAAAUGCUGGGACCCCUGACUCCCGAAGAUCCUAGUUUGAUAGGUUUAGCUUAGAUCCAGGUAUUCUUUCAGGCCAAAGUGAUUUGGUUAAAUGGGCAAGUUUGUACCAUCUCUUCUCUACCCCAUAAUCUCAGACUGGUUCAGGGAGUUGAUUUAGUUUUUCAUGCCUUACAGCUGAAAUCAGUUGGAAAAGGCAGUUUAGAGUCCUGUGUGGAGAAGGUUCUGAGACCAAUGGAGAAGUGUUCUGUGAUCCAUUAGUGAUGGCUGUCGCGAGGCCAGAUGGAGGGAGGAGAAUCCUACUGCCAAGUAUCAGCCAACUGUGAUCUAGAUUGUGACAGUUGGUAGGUGGGUGAGGAGGGUGAAAAAAAAAAAACGGGAAAGUAGGGAAUAUCAGUCACAUUUUGAUUAAAAUUAUCUGAGUAUAUACUAAAUAUUUCAAACAGCUGUAUCUUAGCUAUAUCAGAAGCCUAAAUGUUGCUCUUGGAAAAAUACUAGUGAUGACCUAAGUACAGAGAGCCAAAUGGAGGAGACGAGCCAAAACACUCUUGCGAAUCCCCCAGAUACUGGAUUUCUGCAGUGUCCUGGUCUUGUGGGAAUGCGUGUGCCAGGAAUAUCGGGAACUCUGUGUAAGAGCAGCUGCCAUGUACCCAUGUCUUCUCUGUAGCAAUCUUUUUUCUUGUGGCAGAAAAAAAUGUGGCUCUAUGCAUUUUAGCAAUUGAUCAUGGAUUUCAUAUUUAAAAACUUUCAGGAGAAGGCAACUAUAUUUUAUAGUUCUAAAUUGUGUGUGCUUCUUCUUCACAUUCUAUUAAAUUUUAAUAUUACACGUAUAUAUUAUAUUUGGAGCAACCGAUUUGGAAUGUGGGUCUGAUAAAAAUAUACCUAAGUAGAUAUAAUGGCUCUCUUUUCUUAGAUUCAUAGAAAGAGGUGGAUAAAGCUGGCCUUUAAAUAGAGAAAAGCUUCCUUUUAGGGUUUAAUUCUCCAUAAGUUAGCCUUUUUAAAGGGAGAACUCCAUGCUUAGGUGUUAUUUAGUCCAGGAAAACUGUGCACGCAACUCCUUGCUGUAAUACCAAUACCAGAAACAGAGGACCUACAAUCUUCAUUAUUUCAGUGGCCAUCAGCAGGUAACCUAUGGCAGAUAGGCUCUUAGGAUUCUCAACUAAUUCUUCUUUGCUUUCCACUCUUGUGGACUUUGUUACUUCCUUUAGUCCACUUGGAGUUGAAGGGAAAUGAUGGCUAAGGUCACGUCUCACAGCCAAUGUCGGGGAUGAGCUUUGACCUGCUAAGUUAUCUCCUGGGCUUUAGAAGAGUUGUGAAAGAGACAUAUAGCAAAUAUAAAGAGAAAAAUGUUGCAAUUUGUCAGUGAUAUCUAUCAUCAGACCGGAAUUGGGAAAUUGCAACACAUGAUUAGUAAAUUUACCAUCUUUGAUUCAUAUUGGGGGCUAGGUGAGUGGGAAUAAAUAAAAAUAUGUCAAGCAUGAUGUUGCUAUUAUCAGCAUGAAGGUGGGAAAAGGAAAAAAAAAAAAAAAA
ensembl:lncRNA